rnacentral:rRNA from 1 species
GCCCUCUGCAUGGUUGUGCUGACCCCACACUUGACAGGGAGUUGCCCGUGGUAAGACCCCAAUAUUACACUUGUUAUAUAUACUAUAAUGUCUGAAUAAAUCAUUUCAAAUGAAAUAAAACUUUCAACAACGGAUCUCUAGGCUCUUGCAUCGAUGAAGAACGCAGUGAAAUGCGAUAAGUAAUGUGAAUUGCAGAAUCUCGUGAAUCAUCGAAUCUUUGAACGCACAUUGCGCCCUAUGGUAUUCCGUAGGGCAUGCCUGUCUGAGCGUCAGCUCCCCCCAACUCAAACUUUUGUUAGUUUGGAUUACUUUGAAGGUGUAGCUUGUCAAAGCUGCUUUUCAGAAAUUCAUAGGCAGUAUGGUUAUUCCUAGACCAGACGUAAUAAUAAUAAAACCGUUUUUUUGGGAAAGAAUUGUGCUUGCCUCCACCCACCCAUUAUCUUUUUACUUGGGUGACCUCAGAUCAGGUAGGGAUACCCGCUGAA